rnacentral:rRNA from 1 species
GACGAACGCUGGCGGCGUGCUUAACACAUGCAAGUCGAACGGAAAGGCCCUGCUUUUGUGUGGUGCUCGAGUGGCGAACGGGUGAGUAACACGUGAGUAACCUGCCCUUGACUUUGGGAUAACUUCAGGAAACUGGGGCUAAUACCGUAUAGGAGCUCCUGCUGCAUGGUGGGUGUUGGAAAGUUUCGGCGGUUGGGGAUGGACUCGCGGCUUAUCAGCUUGUUGGUGGGGUAGUGGCUUACCAAGGCUUUGACGGGUAGCCGGCCUGAGAGGGUGACCGGCCACAUUGGGACUGAGAUACGGCCCAGACUCCUACGGGAGGCAGCAGCGGGGAAUAUUGCACAAUGGGCGGAAGCCUGAUGCAGCAACGCCGCGUGCGGGAUGACGGCCUUCGGGUUGUAAACCGCUUUCGCCUGUGACGAAGCGUGAGUGACGGUAAUGGGUAAAGAAGCACCGGCUAACUACGUG